UACGUAGGAUGCAAGCGUUGUUCGGAAUUACUGGGCGUAAAGCGCACGUAGGCGGGUUUGUAAGUAGGGGGUGAAAUCCCAGGGCUCAACCCUGUAACUGCCUUCUAGACUGCAAGCCUGGAGGUCAGGAGAGGCGAGUAGAAUACCGAGUGUAGAGGUGAAAUUCGUAGAUAUUCGGUGGAACACCAGUGGCGAAGGCGACUCGCUGGACUGAUACUGACGCUGAGGUGCGAAAGCGUGGGGAGCAAACAGG
rnacentral:rRNA from 1 species